UACGUAGGGGGCAAGCGUUGUCCGGAAUCCUUGGGCGUAAAGCGCGUGUAGGCGGCUCGAUAAGUCUGCUGUGAAAGUCCAGGGCUCAACCCUGGAAUGCCGGUGGAAACUGUCGAGCUAGAGUCCGGAAGAGGCGAGUGGAAUUCCUGGUGUAGCGGUGAAAUGCGCAGAUAUCAGGAGGAACACCAAUGGCGAAGGCAGCUCGCUGGGACGGUACUGACGCUGAGACGCGAAAGCGUGGGGAGCAAACAGG
rnacentral:rRNA from 1 species